AAUGAACGUUGGCGGCGUGGAUUAGGCAUGCAAGUCGUGCGAGAAUCUCCCUUCGGGGAGAGGACAGCGGCGAAAGGGAGAGUAACGCGUGGUUACAUACCCUCGGGACCGGGAUAGUAGCGGGAAACUGCUAGUAAUACCGGAUAAUAUCUUUGGAUCAAAGGUGUGAUUCCGCCCGAGGAUUGGACCGCGGUCUAUUAGCUUGUUGGCGGGGUAAUGGCCCACCAAGGCGACGAUGGAUACCGGGUGUGAGAGCAUGGCCCGGCUCACUGGGACUGAGACACAUCGCAGACACCUACGGGUGGCUGCAGUCGAGAAUCUUCGGCAAUGGGGGCAACCCUUACCGAGCGACGCCGCGUGCGGGAUGAAGGCCUUCGGGUUGUAAACCGCUGUCAGUUGGGAGGAAGUGCCAGGGGGUUCUCCCCUUGGUUUGACCGAUCUUCAGAGGAAGGACGGGCUAAGUUCGUGCCAGCCGCCGCGGUAAAAC
rnacentral:rRNA from 1 species